rnacentral:rRNA from 1 species
UACAGAGGGGGCAAGCGUUAUUCGGAAUUAUUGGGCGUAAAGGGCGCGUAGGCGGCUUUGCAAGUGACGGGUGAAAUCCCUCGGCUUAACCGAGGAACUGCCUGUCAGACUGUGAGGCUUGAGACCGGGAGAGGUGAGUGGAACUCCCAGUGUAGCGGUGAAAUGCGUAGAUAUUGGGAGGAACACCGGUGGCGAAGGCGGCCCCCUGGACCGGUACUGACGCUGAGGCGCGAAAGCGUGGGUAGCAAACGGG